CUCCAUUUUAGCUGUCAAUUUCAUCAGAGGUCUCAACAGAAUUUUCCAGAGCAUUACAGUCGUCAGUGAGGAACACCAAGUCCUGGAGAAACAAAAGAGAUGGCUAAUGUCAUAAGGAGAAACACAGAAGAUAAUAUUCGAGAUGGAGCCAAGACAUCCAGAUGCUGGGAUGCAGGCAUGGGGCUGAACAUAUGUUGUUAUACAUGUAUAUUAAUUGUCCUGCAAAAAGGGGCUACCUUUGAAUGAAGAACUGUUUAUUUCACAAGUUAUCCUCCCCUAUCUUCCCCAACCCCCACAAAAAGUCAGCAAAAUUCAACAUCUUUCAAAUUCAUGUUCUAGCUUGGUAUAAACCAAAAUAUGGAAGUGUCUGAUAGAGGAUAUAUUCCCUUGGAAUUGAAGUAGUCCUGCAAGGUUCAUCCGAAGACAGAAGGAGAAAUGACAGUAUACCAGUAAGAGAAAAGGGUUUUCCACCAGCCAUUUUUGGAGAGAUCGGAGUCUUGAAAGCAAGCUUUGUGAAAAGAAUUCUGUAUUUUGCAGAGGACUCUGACUGAAAUCCCCCCAAAUACCUGGAGGAAACAGGGAAAUAGAGCUGCAUUGUACUAUCUUGUAAUACAUUUCUUUGCUUUUAUAAAGGAUGAUUUGUUGAGUAACAUCAUACUUCUGAAGGGCAACGUGAUAAAUACCCAGUGAAGAAAGAAAUAUUUCAUUUGUUGGGAGUCCUGGCAGUGGGGACUUUAGGACUGCUCUUGGUAAA